UAAAAGCAUGUGUAAUAAAUAUUGAAGUGCAGUAAUGAAACAAACUUAUAAACAAAAUUACAAAAUCAAGGAAUGUAAGUGUGAGAACCCAAAAAUAUCUAUAUAUAUAUUUUUAGAACAUAAAUAGAACUUUAGAACAAUUCCUAACUCAGUUUUUGAGAAAAAAACACUUUCUCUCUCUAAUGGCCAAAAUCCUCUUCUUUGUGCUCUGUCUUCUCUCUUAAAUCCUCCUUCACUAAAUCAUCUUCUCAACAAUCAGGAAGCGUGUAAGGAUUCCUAGCGUUGAGAGCUCGAAAUCCCACCUAUCAAUUUAGCAUUUUCCUCUGGUAAGUGUUUUUCCCUUUUUCAGUUCAUUUUAGGGUUUUGAUCAUGCAAUAAAUCUGAUUGCAUGUAACCCAUUGUGCAUCCUUUCAAUUUUAAUUUCCAUUAGGUUCUAAGAAAUUGUCUUCCAUCACCAAAUGAUGAUUUUUAGGUAUUUUUAAGUUUCUCUCGGUGCAAGGGGGGCUAGUUGAAUCAUCUUGUAAGCUUGGUCGUGCGUGUAAAGGUAAGGGAAGCUUUGGUUUUCUUUCUUUUCUAUUUUGGGAAUUUGGGUUGUAUGAAUUUGGGGCUUUUGUUUGGGAUUGUGAAAUUGGUAAUUUUGCUUGUUGAACCAAAUGUUCAUGUAUUCAAACUGUGAAAUUGUAAAUUGAUGCUUGUGAAUUGGUAUGAAUCAUGUGCGAUACUAUGAACUGAAUGUGGAUGUGUUGAGUUGCUUGGUUUGGGCAUGUUGGAAGUGGUUGAGGUGGAAAAUUUUGUUAUAUUGUUGAUGAAGGUUGAAAAACAGUGA
rnacentral:lncRNA from 1 species